rnacentral:misc_RNA from 1 species
AAAGUCGUAACAAGGUUUCCGUAGGUGAACCUGCGGAAGGAUCAUUAUCAAUAUCAGCGGACUUCGGUCCCUGCUAUACCCUUGUCUUUUGCGUACCACACGUUUCCUCGGCGGGCUUGCCUGCCGAUCGGACAACCAUAAACCCUUUGCAGUUGCAAUCAGCGUCAGGAAAAAACAAUCGUUAAAACUUUCAACAACGGAUCUCUUGGUUCUG